rnacentral:rRNA from 1 species
UACAGAGGAGCCAAGCGUUGUCCGGAUUGACUGGGCGUAAAGCGCACGCAGGCGGUUGCGCGCGUGGGGUGUGAAAUCUGGCCGCUUAACGGCCAGGCGCCAUCCCAUACGGCGCGACUGGAGUGAUGCAGAGGUCGAUGGAAUUGCCGGUGUAGUGGUGAAAUGCGCAGAUAUCGGGAGGAACACCUAUGGCGAAGGGCAGCC